ACCGUCAGACCAGACAAAUCUCAGAGCAACCUAAGGGGUACCUCGUAGUCCUCGUAGUUACCUCGUAGUGUAUCGUGGAGAUAUUAGCCCAUAUAGGAUCAAACAUGGUGGUCGACAUGGUGUUUAGAUGUACAGCCUAAAUUUUUUUGAUAGAUAGGAGGAUGCAAUAAUUUUCAUUCUUAAGGGAUUUGAAGUUCCUCUGACAGUCCACCAUCUUAUUUCUAUAAAGUUAUCAGUUGCGCUCAGAAGCUAUACUCAAGAACAAGCCUUUACUUGGUCUCUUUACGAAGCGCGUUGUCCUCUCCAUCUCCUUUCAUUCCACUCGCCUAUGAAGAACGCAGGCUCAAGAAG